rfam:Candidatus Caldiarchaeum subterraneum DNA, complete genome, from subsurface mine microbial mat.
GGGGCCGUGGUCUAGCUUGGUCUAAGACUCCAGCCUGGGGCGCUGGCAAUCCUGGGUUCAAAUCCCAGCGGCCCCA